CCUACGGGUGGCAGCAGUAGGGAAUAUUGCUAAAUGGGGGAAACCCUGAAGCAGCAACGCCGCGGGGAGGAUGAAGGUUUCGGAUUGUAAACUCCUUUUGUUAGAGAAGAUAAUGACGGUAUCUAAAGAAUAAGAAGCGGCUAACUCGGUGCAAGCAGCCGCGGUAAUAAGGAGGGUGCAAGCGUUACUCGGAAUCACUGGGCGGAAGGAGCGCAUGGGCGGGAUAGCAAGUCAGAUGUGAAUUCCUAUGGCUUAACCAUAGAACUGCAUUUGAAAUUGUUAUUCUAGAGUAUGGGAGAGGUAGGUGGAAUUCUUGGUGUAGGGGUAAAAUCCGUAGAGAUCAAGAGGAAUACUCAUUGCGAAGGCGACCUGCUAGAACAUAACUGACGCUGAUGCGCGAAAGCGUGGGGAGCAAACAGGAUUAGAUACCCUUGUAGUC
rnacentral:rRNA from 1 species